CAAAAGUUAGUUAAAAAAUAAUAUAGGUUUUGGGGAUUUAAGUUAAGGAAUAAGUUACUUUUGA
rnacentral:tRNA from 1 species